ensembl:lncRNA
UGGAUUGCAUAUUUUCAUUUGGUUGAUGGCAUUUAUAUUUUUACUUAUCCUAUAAUUUGGGUACAAUUUUAUUUAUAAUUUGCUUCUAUGAUAUGAUGCACUUUAAGGACCAGUCUAAUUUGAUGCAAAGAUUUGUACAUUAGCAGGAAUGUAGCAAAACAUGGAGGUGAAAGCAGUGGUCUGUUUAUUUAAAUGUGAAAGUGCAAUAAAAAUAUGUUGUCCCUAAAAUCAAUCAAUAAUCAUGAUAAAUAAUCAUGGACUCAAUAUUGAUCAAAAUAAUCAGGAUUAUCAUUUUGGCCAUAAUCGUGCAGCCCUACAUGGAGAUAGUUGAUUUGCAAAAUGACAGAACUGAAAGCCAGAUCAAGGGACAGUGACAUUUGGGGACUUGUCAACAGAAAGAAGUUUCCUCUCCUGACCACACAUGCACUGAAAGUGAGUGCCUACUUUGAAUCCAUUUACCUCCGCGAAAUGGCAUUUUCACGGAUGAAAUUAAAUCAAAUCAAAUACAGGAGCUGCCUUACACAGACACCUAACAGACUGCUUCAGACUGGCUGUCUCUAGCUAUGAGGCUGUCUCUAACUACAGAGCACUCACAGACAGUAGCUGCAUUUACAUGGACAACAAUAAUCCACUCUUAACCCGAUUAAGACCAUACUUUAAUUAAGAAACUACCAUGUAAACAGCAAUUUUUACUUACCUUAAUCUAAUUAAGGUCUUACUCGAAUUAAGCUCUAAUUGAAUUAUGACAGGUGGAGUACUCCUGUUUUAGUCGCAUUAUAGACGUGUAUUACAGACAUGUAAACAUCUUAUAUAGACAGUAAGUACGCGGUUUGGGACACAGCCCACGGCUUCAAGCAGGUGUCUAUUAGCAUGUAUAGCAUGACAAAUAAUUAACUGCACUUAAAGCGUUCGUAAAAAAAAUAAAUAAAUACACCCAAAACUGUAUACGGUACCAUAACGAAGACGAACUGUAUGUUGAUACGUGAAAUUCUGGAGGGACGUCGGACAGCGUGGCGACGUAAUGAUGCGGGCUGUUAAUCUAAUUAUGUUCUAUAACAUAUAAAACGGGAAAAUGACAGGGGUAUUCUAAAAGCGACUCAUGUAAACACCUUAAUCACAUUAUUAUCUUAAUCAGAGUAAGGUCAAUAAUUAGAUUACUGCUGUCCAUGUAAACGUAGUCAGUGUUUAGUCCCAGCCAUCACACUAACUUGUGUGAUUAACAUCACUGCAGCAGUUUUGCCUUCUGAUGGCAUUGUGAAAAGUGAUGCUGCAUAAGAUGGGAC